rnacentral:rRNA from 1 species
GCAGUAGCCGCGGUAAUACAGAGGGUGCAAGCGCUAAUCGGAAUUACUGGGCGUAAAGCGCGCGUAGGUGGUUUGUUAAGUUGGAUGUGAAAGCCCCGGGCUCAACCUGGGAACUGCAUCCAAAACUGGCAAGCUAGAGUACGGUAGAGGGUGGUGGAAUUUCCUGUGUAGCGGUGAAAUGCGUAGAUAUAGGAAGGAACACCAGUGGCGAAGGCGACCACCUGGACUGAUACUGACACUGAGGUGCGAAAGCGUGGGGAGCAAACAGGAUUAGAUACCCCCGUAGUCCCUGUCUCUUAUAU